AUGAAGCAUGAACUAAAGAGGGAUCCUGACACUGAACAUCCCACUGAAUGUGGAAUCAUCACCGACUGGGAUGACGUAGGAAAGCCCUGUUCCACCCCCUUGGAUCCAUUCUCUCUCUGUUGGAAGGCACCACUCCACCAGGACAGAGGAGCACACUUGUCCUUGUGUGUACCUUUGGAACCACUCCACUCGUGGGUACAGAGGUGAGGUCACAAGGGGGCACAGAGGUUUCUCAAGGGGAGAAAAGCCAUUUCAGGGUCAGCACUGCAUAUCCCUCCUGGCCUUUCAUCUCACAGGACUUGUCUCAUACCUGUGGAUGCUGUUUUUUUCCUGUUUUCUGCAAAAGUGAACUGAGCUCACCAUUUUUCAUGUGUUAGAGAGGGAAAACAUACACCACUUUGCCAUCAGCAUAGUGUUUGCCUGAUUGUAAAAAUCACCCUAAAUGAAUAUUUGAAAAUGUUAUCAUGGAGCAGCUUAACUUCUGGCAAAUUCUGCUUUUUUCAUCUGGCCUUUGCACUUGUACAGUCAGGUCUGAAAAGUGUGUCACUGUGAAUGCCACUUCACCUGUCAGUCAGGGAAACUGAAUGUGCAGGAUAAAGCCAAGUGAAAUUUUUACAUUUCAAAACCCAGGGAAAACAUUUGAGGAACAAAAGUGUUUUUUUCCCUACUUGGAGGUCCUCAGCUGGUGUCAUCAGCUCUGCUGAAGUUGCUUAUUUAUGCCAAUAUUCAGACUUCAAAACUGCAAGUGUUAAUGCAGAGAGCUGCCCUUAAAUGCCACGUGGAAGGAAAUAUGCCAAGGUCCCUAAAAGAUUCAUACCACAAAAAAUCAGUCCAAGGCAGUAUUUUGAUUUUUUCUUCUUUUUUCUGUUACCUCCUUUUGGUAUCCCAAUAACAUUGUAUUCCCUGUUUUUCUCCUGAGGAGAGUGAUAUUUCGCACACAGCUGUGUGAUGUCAGUGCAGUGCCUGAUACCCCGUGGAGCUGAUCAUGGGGCUCUGUUUCUUUGUUUUCCAGGGGAUUAUAUUUUUAAUCCCAAAUGUCUGUAAAUCACAGUGUUGGUGACUGGUGGCUUUUGCACUGCCCCUUCUAUAGAGGACAUGAUCUUCAUUUUUAAUGUGUUCCCGAAAUAAAUACCUUAUGUUUCAAAGUACA
rnacentral:lncRNA from 1 species